GGGAUAUGGUGACAGCACUCUCUGGGUUCUGCCCCCACUUCUCUGAAGUGUGCUUCCUCCCCCAGCCUUCCAUCUCCUUUGUCUAGGACUGUAGAACUAAUUGCUCUGGAGCCAUACCCUUACCUCUCCCUUCCAAGUGGAAAUCAAAUCUUUCUCUGGGCAUUUUGUGUUGUCUCUCCUCCCAUCGUCUGGGUAGCUUUAUACAUGCUAGGAAGUGCUGCACCACUGAGCUAAACCCCAACCGCAGGCUUUGCUAGUUUGGAAGGUGCUUGGCAAGGGUCCUGACUCCUUCUGAUUACUGGGGUAAUAGGGCAAGUGGGUUCUCAGAGGAGGUUUCCCUGGAAAAGGGGAAAGGUGCUUCUGAGUGGAAAAUUUUCAUCCUUCCCUGCAGGUCACUAUGGUCAUAGAAGACCCUCAUUUCUCCUUCAAUUUUCCCAAAGCAAAUAUCUGGGAGGCUGGGGUGCAGAGGGGAGAAGGUGCUAAGAGGGAAAUGAAGUUAGGUAUGCCCAGAGUUAGUCCUGGACCCUCAGGACUCCUCUGGGGUCUAUCCUCUUAAGUAAGAAGAGGUGACAACAUGCAUGGUUCAGUAAGAGAAAUUGAUUCAAGCAACAGCUAAUAGUUGAUUACUAUAUAUAUGUAAAAAGUCAAAAAGGCAAAUGGGAAAAUAUUGGCAAAGAAUAUCAAAGGUCACUAUGCUAAUAAGUUUUACAGAUCAAUAAAAAUCAUAUUAAGCGGGGCUGGGGAUGCCAAGCGGUAAUAUGCUCUCCUGGCAUGCGUGGGGCACUGGGUUCGAU
rnacentral:lncRNA from 1 species